AUUCAGCUGACAAGUCCCAAGUAGGACGAAACGUGCGUCUUGUAU
rnacentral:hammerhead_ribozyme from 1 species